GAAAGAGAUGUGUCCAAUGGUUUCCUCAUGAUCCGAUUCAGGUCCUCUAUAUAAUGUAGGUGAAGUUGUAUCUCACCUACUGCAUCACACUGGAAGACACAUGAUGUCAACCUAAACUCUGUUCGUGACGUCAACUUUGAUCAUUUGAUUAAGGUGUCUACCUCCAUCAAGGAACAUUCUAGAAAACAACUGUUGUUAAAGAGAAGUUCCGUGUUCUCCAGAGAUACAUACUGAAGUAUGAGGAGUGAAGAGUCUCAUGAUGUCUGUGACUUACAAAUGACUCAACAAAUAAUAAUAUCACUAUUACUAUUA